rnacentral:lncRNA from 1 species
CCCCCAGAGCCAGAUAUGCUGGUGGAAAAAUUACUGUCCUAAAUUCACACCACCUUCUCAUGCAGUUUGGAGGUGAAUGUUAUUAGCAAUGAAGUUCAAAAAUGAUCACCCAAAUUAGUAGCAGGCCAAAUCAGUUGCAUUAAGUUAGAUGAGCUGUUUACAUUGUUUAAGCCAGAUUAAUUGCUUUUGCCUGAUUUAGGACACAAUUGUGCGUCAGCAAAUUAACAGGGCUGAUAACUGCUAGCUGAUGGGUAGUGACAGUGCCUUGGGAUGAGAACUUCUGUCCUCACCAUGUGAAUCUGAAAGAGGUGUGUAUCUGUUGUUUAAGAUGGAAGAGGGAUAGUAGUAAACACCUUCAGUCAUGUUUAAGUGAGGUGUAGCUAUGCCCUUAGGGCUUUGAUAGACAAGCUGUAGGGAACUUUGCUGUGUCUGUGCUCACCUCUCCUUUCCAGCUCUCUACCAAAAGCUGUCAUCUGCACAACAGUGUCUGCAGAAAGGGACCCUUUGCUUCAGCCACCUCCAUGCAAAACCUGUCUUCGUAGCCUAGACUGGCAACAACGUGAGGCUGUGCUACAGUACUGUGAACUGCAGCAACUCAGGUCACUCUUCCAUCCAGAAUUGUUACAAAAGGCUGAAGUCUUAGAGAAGUUUGGAACCUGAAUAUCAAACAGAAAGGCUCARCUUGGAUCAGUUGUAAUAUUUUGUAGAGAGAAA